CUGGAUCCCUGCACUCCCAGCAUCUGUGCACGCGCACACACGCACGCACGCACACACACACACACACACUUGUUUUGAGGAAAUUAACCCAUGACUGGACCCUCCUUCAUUCUCUCUGUUGCUGCAGGAAUAUAAAAAGUUUUGGUCCACCGAACCAGCGGUCCACCGAACCAGCGGUCCAACGAACCAGCGGUCCACCGAACCAACAGUCCACCGAACCAGCGGUCCACCGAACCAACAGUCCAGAGGACCAGCGGUCCAACGAACCAACGGUCCACCGAACCAGCGGUCCAACGAACCAGCGGUCCACCGAACCAACAGUCCAGAGGACCAGUGGUCCAACGAACCA